rnacentral:rRNA from 1 species
CGCAAGGCGGGCGAGUGACGAGCGAUUGUGAGGGCCCCGAAUCGGCGGUUUGGUUCUUCACCGUUGCGAACAGUCGACUUGGAACUGUCGCUGAGCAGGGGAAUCUAACUGUUUAAUUAAAACAUAGCUUUUAGAAGAUUGUGGUCGGACGUAGGCUUAAAGUGAAUCCUGCCCAGUGCUCUGAAUGUUAAUGCAAAGAGAUUUUACCAAGCUCGGGUAAACGGCGGGAGUAACUAUGACUCUCUUAAGGUAGCCAAAUGCCUCGUCUUCUAAUUAAAGACGCGCAUGAAUGGACUAAUGAGAUUCCCACUGUCCCUAGUUACUGUCCGGCGAACCGACAGUCAAGGGAACGGUCUUGAGAUCUUCAGCGGGGAAAGAGACCCUGUUGAGUUUGACUCUAAUCUGACUCUGUG